rnacentral:rRNA from 1 species
UACGGAGGGGACUAGCGUUGUUCGGAAUCAUUGGGCGUAAAGCGCGUGUAGGCGGUCCGGUAAGUCCGCUGUGAAAGCCAGGGGCUCAACCCUUGGAUGCCGGUGGAUACUGUCGGGCUUGAGUACGGAAGAGGCGAGUGGAAUUCCUGGUGUAGCGGUGAAAUGCGCAGAUAUCAGGAGGAACACCGGUGGCGAAGGCGGGACUCUGGGCCGAUACUGACGCUGAGGAGCGAAAGCGUGGGGAGCAAACAGG